UUGAAGACCAGUCAAAGUAAGAAGAACCUGAGGAAGGUGAUAAAUAAUGUUGAAAAUAUUAUUAAAAUUGUAUCAAUCCAACCCACACGCUUCUUCCAGAAGGACAAUAUGCAUCGGUCAAAUCAAAGGGGUUUACCUAUCGCACACCGACAGGUUGAAAAUCAACAUCUACUCUACAAAUAUAUAAACAUAUAAUCUGCAUUCAGUAUUCUGCAAUACAGAUCUUCAUUGUUUCGACAAGAAUUCUAAGAUAAAUCAUUAAGAAAUGGAUGGAAAUUACAGCGAUCAAGCAUCGGCAACGGAUCUAAACAGAAGGAAUUACCUGUGGGCGGAUCAUACGGAUACGAAGACGGAGUACGUUUAUCCGACGGAGAGCAGACGGAGCAAGAUCAAGGACAAGUUAGAAGAUGGAUUGGAGAAAUCGAAAGCAGUUGCUUCAACAGGAUUGAAGAAGAUCAAAAGAGGAUCAAGUGUAGGGCUCCAUUGGAUCAAACACAAGUACCAAAAAACGACGCAUAAACAACACUCGUAGCUCGUAUCGUCUUCGUCUGUGUGUAUGUAAAGUUGCUUGAUAUUAUUUGUGUUUUUUGGUUUUUAAUUGAUUUUUUAUUUAUGAUUUAUGAUUUUGAAGAGUUUUGUGACCCUGUUUGUUAAUGAAAAUAUAAAAUAUACAUGUUUGUAACAUCUUUUCAAAUUUUUUAUACAUGUUUGUGCAAACGAUAUGAAUUCACUUAGUAUAUAUUUUGGAUAAGCCCAAAAUAUAUAUAUUUCAUUCCAUAUUUUCUGAAAAAAAAAAAAAAAGCAAAUUAACCUUGAAGACAGGAAGCAGACCUUAACCAAAACUGAUCACGCAUAUAUGACCAUAUAUCAAUUCUAAGAUUUUUGAGAGAAUGUAUUCAAGUAUUCGGUUUUGAUACCGUGAAAAUUCCCGAAAACCAUGAAAAAGAACCGAGAACUGAAUAUAAGCAUACCUUGUUCCGAUGAGAUCUUGUGAAGAUAUGCAUUAGCUUAAAUAGAUGUGUAUGUGUCACCUUAGAUGGACGACUUUACCUAAAGUAUGUUUAUAGUUUGUUAAUUGUUAUCCAAGUUUCAUUAAUUUAUGGAAUCAUUGACCAUUUUAAACACCAAUAAUCAUUAUAAAUAGAUAACAACUUCAAGAUCUUCCCAUUUUGAAAUCAUGUUUGAUGCACUACCUUAUCGAGUUGUUUUCCUUCUUUUUAGCGUAAAAAGCUUGAAGCAAUCCUCUAUCCUAAUAAAUAAAUAAGUACUUUUAUGACACUCCAAGCACUCUGUUAGCUUAUAUUCCCGCUCAUUUUAUCAAAAGUGAAAUUCCAAAAUUAUCCUCUAGCCCACAGUUACCGAUCAAAUUCUUUCCUCUUCAAUAUUCAUAUUCAUCGGAAAAUCAAGAAUUUAUCUUCUAAAUCUCAAUCAUCUUCAAAUCUCGGUCCCUUAGCUGUGAUCUAGAUUUCAAAAUCCCUAAUUCACUCCUUCAGUUAUAAAUCAGUCCCCCCUUUUAAUAUUUUGAAAGCUUGAAAGUUUACUUAGACGAUUCAACUGCAUUCUUGCUUUGUAACCUCUAAUUUCCAUUGACUCCUUUUCUUUGAUCUUUUUGGUGAGCUCGGAUGAAGGAACAAGAGGAGGAAGCGAUGGCAAAUUUGAAGUGGAUGACAGAUCAGUUGGGAGAGAGACAAACACCAAUCUACCAGGGGCUUCCACCACCUCUCCCGCUGCCGCCUCAAGCAAAUCUCGCUCUUCUCAACAUAGGUGACGACCGAACGAUUGGUGACACACCCACAAAAACAUCAAUCGAUGCCAUAUACGAUCUCUUCCACACCUGCUUCAACUUCGUUGGUGGCUCAAAGUUUGUCAUCUCGGUUGCUACUUCCUUGCAAAUCAAAAUCUAAUUUUUUUUCUACGGUUGACGAUUGCAUACCAUCGGUCUUGCACGCUUUUAUCGUGAUAGAUUGUUGUUGCUGCAACGGAUGACCAUCGACCCCAAUUGCCAUAAGGUGAUUUGAAUGAAACAUUAGGUUUUUUUACCAAAAUCCUUUUCCCCCCAAAAGGUAUUCCGUCAACAUGAUAGUCCUUUAAUGUAAAGUUUAGUGUUUUGGGAAAGAGUAAUGAAUGAUGUGGCACACAGCAUAAUAUUUGGAGUUGGAGACCAUCCACAGUCUGCCAUUGUUGUUCAGUAAUUUAGAAGCAUUCCUUUCAGGGAAAAACACUGCUUGUUAUAGAAGGCAAGAAUACGGAUCCUCAGUUCAUCAGCUUGAUAAUUUUGUCACCAGAGGAUGUGCUGCCAACUGUCUACUUGUGCACAAAUAAGAUUGCUCCUGACCAGGAGAACACACAUUGUGACAACAGCAAUUAAAGAGGCAUGUGGAACAAACAAAUUGAAGAUUCGCGAGAUAGACAACACUUUAGGUGAUCUUGGUGUUGCGGCUCAACUAUGUUGCCAAACACAAAAGCUAUUUGCACCUCCAACUUCACUCUUAAUCAGACGUGUUUAUUCAGUGCUUCAUGAGAUAAGGUAGCGGAAGUACUGGGACAUGCAACGCCUCUAACCCAUAGAUCUAUGCUCCUAGGGCAUGCUUAUCACGUAAAGUUGCAAACUUUACGUGCAUGCAUGGCCCUAUGAGCUCAAGAAGGCAAAUCCAAGCCCUUUAAGGGGUCAUACACCCAAUAGGGACCUCCAUAACCCCAACCACAGAGACUUUAUACUUCUAGGAUGUCCAUAAGAUCCCAAUCUAAAGUCCUUUCAGAACUUAAAGCACAAAUACAUGAAAUUUGAGGUUUUAGGGCUUGAAACCACUAAUUUGGGACAAAAGGGGAUCUAAUGGACUUAUGAUCAAGGUAAGAACUUUUCUACCUGAAUGGAAGCUUCUCACAGUGUAGAUUCCGGAUCUACCUCCCCUCCUUGCACACUUCAACCUUCUCUUCCUUCCUCUAAGCUCCAAACCUUCUCCACAAAGCCAAAAUCACCCUCAAGGACAAUAUGGGGGGCUAGGGUUUCUUUCUACAGUUCUCUGGAAGUGUUAGGGACUAAGGAGGCCAAGUUAGAGCGUUUAAAUAGGGUGCAAACGCCCGGAUUAGGGUUUAUGUCCAAACAGGGUCUACUCGCCGAGUCCGGGGAUCGACUCGCCUAGUACAAAGUUCAAACCCCGCACCUUAUCCCGCUCCUACUCGGCGAGCUGGUCCUUCAACUCGCCGAGUCCAAGGCAAAAAUGCAUAAAAUUAAAAUAUUAAUCACAAGGAGUACGUACCAGGAACUAGGUGCUACAAUUAUGUUAUAUAAUGGUGCUAUAAGAUGUCAUAAAAUUAGUUUACAUAAGAUGCUAUAUAUUAACUCAUCUACUUGAAUGACUUUAAAUGUAAUUGUUUCUUUAACUGAUGAAAUAUAUCACAAUUAAACUGAUUCUUAUA